UACGAAGGGGGCUAGCGUUGUUCGGAAUCACUGGGCGUAAAGGGCGCGUAGGCGGCUUUAUAAGUCGGGGGUGAAAGCCUGUGGCUCAACCACAGAAUUGCCUUCGAUACUGUAGAGCUUGAGACCGGAAGAGGUAAGUGGAACUGCGAGUGUAGAGGUGAAAUUCGUAGAUAUUCGCAAGAACACCCAGUGGCGAAGGCGGCUACUGGUCCGGUUCGUGGACGCUGAGGCGCGAAAGCGUGGGGAGCAAACAGG
rnacentral:rRNA from 1 species